rnacentral:misc_RNA from 1 species
GUAGGUGAACCUGCGGAAGGAUCAUUCAUAAUAAGUGUUUUAUGGCACUUUUUUAAAUCCAUAUCCACCUUGUGUGCAAUGUCAGGGUUGAUUUUUCUCUCGAGAGGAUCAGCCCCAAACAUCAACUAUAUCUCAACUCUUUGUCUGAAAAAUAUUAUGAGUAAAACAAUUCAAAAUACAACUUUCAACAACGGAUCUCUUGGCUCUC